UACGUAGGGUGCGAGCGUUAAUCGGAAUUACUGGGCGUAAAGCGUGCGCAGGCGGCUUUGUAAGACAGAUGUGAAAUCCCCGGGCUCAACCUGGGAACUGCAUUUGUGACUGCAAGGCUAGAGUGCGUCAGAGGGAGGUGGAAUUCCGCGUGUAGCAGUGAAAUGCGUAGAGAUGCGGAGGAACACCGAUGGCGAAGGCAGCCUCCUGGGAUGACACUGACGCUCAUGCACGAAAGCGUGGGGAGCAAACAGGAUUAGAUACCCUGGUAGUCCACGCCCUAAACGAUGUCAACUAGUUGUCGGGGAUUCAUUUCCUUGGUAACGCAGCUAACGCGUGAAGUUGACCGCCUGGGGAGUACGGCCGCAAGGUUAAA
rnacentral:rRNA from 1 species